rnacentral:lncRNA from 1 species
AUUACUCCCCCAAAAUAUCUGCAGUUGUGUGUGUGUGUGUGUGUGUGUGUAUGACAUUGACAAGCUGAUUCUAAAAUCACCUGAAAUUGCAAAGGACUCAGAACAGCGAAGAUGAGUUGCAGGACCAGAGGAAUGGCAGCAGCGAGCUGGGCGGCUUGUGCUGGCACCCAGCCUCACAGCGAAGCUGCCGUGAUUGUUGGGGUGGCCGUGGUCAAGGAGAGAAAGACCAAGGGAACUGAACUGAGUCUCAAAACAGGCCCACACACGUACGCCAAAGUUAACACUUGCUUACAAAUCGGGGAAGAAGAGUCUUUUCCAACAUUUUUGCUGGGUGAAUUGAAUACAUGUAUGGGAAAAGAAGUCUUGAUGCCUACUUUACAAUAUGUACACAUAUACCCCUAAUUCAUAAGGAUUGUAGAACUAAUUCUGAGGGAUAAACAAUAAAGCUGUAGAAAAAAAUAGGAAAAUAUCUUUAUGGCCUUGGGGGUAGGCAGUAAUUUCUUACAUAGAGUAUAAAAAAGCACAGCCAUUGAGGAAAAAAUUGAUACAUUUGAUCACAUUGAAAUUAAGAACUUAUAUUUGCCGAAAGAUGCAGUUAAUAAUGUGCAAGAGGAUGAAGAGGCAAGCCACAGAGUCGCAAAAGAUACUUGCAGGGCAUAUAUCUGACAGAGGACUCUGAUCCAGAAUAUAUAAAGACCUUCUACAAAUCAGUAAGAAAAAGACAAACAACCCGUAGAAAAAUGGGGAAAAGACAUGAACUGCACUUCACAAAAGGGGCUAUCCAAAUGGUCCAAAAAUAUUUGAGAAUGGACUUACCCUUGAGUUAUCAGGGAAGUGAAAGUUAACACCGCAGUGUAACACACACCCACCUUCGAAAUCUUACACCACCAGUGUUGUAACUAGCCAGACUGUGGAGCAGCCGGAACUCUUGUGUUGUGCUGGUGGGAAUGUAACUUGUACAACUACUUUGGGAAACUUUGGCAGCAUCCUUAAAGGUGCAUGUACUCACACCCAAAGACCCAGAAAUUCCACUUCUAGGUAUUUGCCAACAGAAAUGCAUGCAUGCUGUCACCAAGACAUGAGCAAGGAUGUUCGUAACAGCAUAAGGGGAGCAUAAAUGAUUGGAGAUGUUACAGCAAUGAAAAUCUUGCUAUCCCUAGACACAGAAGCAUGUUUGAAUAUCGCAAACAUAACGUUGAGGGGGAAAAGCCAGACGCAAAAGAGAAAAUGCUUCACGAUUCCAGUUGUUUAAACCUCACAGACAGGCCAGGCUACUCUCUGUUGGUGGAGGUCACAAAGUGGCUGCAUCUGUGACUGGGAGAGGACAGGAGACAGAUCCUGGAAAAUCUGAAGCGUUUCCCAAGGCCCUCUAAUUUGACAGAAACCAAUCCUGCACUGUGUACACACAGCCUAGCUGUCAACUGAGGACUCGCACUUCCCCACAUGGAGCUUGGGGACCUCGCACACAGCUUCCUCUUCCCCUGUGUCCUGCCCCAUGCAUUCCCAUGGCUUCUGCUGCCCCAAGUCUGGUCUCCACAUCUUCAGGUCUGUGUGACCUCUGUAUUCCAGCACUCUGUGCCUGUCCGUAGGCAAGAGUUGAGCAAUUCUAAGUUGUCUUUCUCCAGGGGAUUCCAGUCUUCACUCUCUGUCAUCCACUGCCUGAGAACAGCUGUUCAUACAUUUUGUCCAGUUUUAUGGUUAUUUAUGGUGGAAAGGCUAGUCUGGUAUCAGCUAACCCAUAGGGUCUAGUAGUGGAAGUCACAAGUAAGCUUCCUGAUGGAGAAGGCAGUCUGUGUCUCCACUCCCCUGCCCCAUGCCCCCCCUUGACCCAUUGCACCCAAACCUCUGGCCCCACCACCCCAGUGACAUUUCUUUGCCUGGAAACUUCUUUUUUUUUUUUAAGGUAUGCUUUUUGGUGAGGAAGAUUGACUCUGAGCUAAUAUCUGUUGCCAAUCUUCCUCACUUUUUGUUUUUUUUUCUCCCCAAAGCCCCAGUACAUAGUUGUAUAUACUAGUUGUAAGUCCUUCUAGUUCUUCUAUGUGGGAUGCCGCCACAGCAUGGCUUGACGAGUGGUGUGUAGGUCUGCGCCCAGGACCCAAACUAGCAAACCCCAGGCUGCCGAGGCAGCACAUGUGAACUUAGCCACUACGCCACUGGGCCAGCCUCUGCCUGGGAACUUCUCAACCCUGGCUUCCAGGAUGCUCUUCUCUCCUUGUUCUUUCCCCCUCAGCUUGCUCUUUCUGGUCCCUUUGCUCACCCCUUUCCUCAGACCAUCUCCUCAAUGCUGGCUUCCCCUGGAGAUCCAUGAUUGCCCCUUACCUCUCCUCCUGCAGACAUUUACUAGGCUGUGGCUUCCACCCGCCUUCUUCUGAUGAUUCUCUGGUCUGUACCUUCAGUUCUCAUCUUUGCUCUGGCCUGUGGGCCCAUCUUCACCUGAUGUUGUAGGUGGUGGUGCCAGGGGCCUUUCCUCGACAGUCCUGAAUGGAACUUAAUGUCUUUACCUCAAACCUGUUCCUCUCUCUUGUUUUCCCUCCACUCUGACACCCGAAGCAGGAGUGGCCAUGCAGGCCUGGUCCCCUAAAUUCUUUUCUCACUUGCAGUGGCCACCAAGUCCUGAUUCUGACACUUCCGAAUGUACUCCUUCUAGCUCCC